UUAGUUUUUAAUCAAAUUGCAGCAGAAAAUCUUAAAUGGAAAGGAGGGGUUUAGUGAUCCCUCAUUUUAAAGGUCUUUUAAUUACCUUUUCAGAAAUACCACCUAGUCGACCUUUCGAUUGAGAAGUUUGCGGAAAAUAAACGGGGGUCAAUACGGGUAUACCCAAAAAAUGAAAAAACCCAAACUUUGAAGGUCGAUAUCUCGGCUUCUGUGAGAGCUAUCGGGAAAAUUCCAACGGUUUUGUCUUAGUUUCGUCGUUUUGAAUCCAACGAGACCAUCCGCAAGGUCGUAGCUCUUCUAAUAGCUGAGAUAUGGCAUUUUUGAUGCCCAUUUUUGGCCUCAAAAACGGACGUCAAAAACGACUUUUUCAGGAUUUUCAAAGUGCUCUCAUUCCCUUAGUUCUGCUCGGAUCCUGUUAUAACCCGGUGUUUUCGUAAUCUAGGUGACCCAAAUAAGACGCUGGUAUACUUAGUUUGAUUUCGAAAAAAAUCAAUUUUUGGUGAAAAAAAUCGGUACGGGGGGGUAUACCCGAAAAAUGAAAAAACCCAAACUUUGAAGGUCGAUAUCUCGGCUUCUAUGGGAGCUAUCGGGAAAAUUCCAACGGUUUUGUCUUAGUUUCGUCGUUUUGAAUCCAACGAGACCAUCCGCAUGAUCGUAGUUCUCAUAAUAGCUGAGAUAUGGCAUUUUUGAUGCCCAUUUUUGGCCUCAAAAACGGACGUCAAAAACGACUUUUUCAGGAUUUUCAAAGUGCUCUCAUUCCCUUAGUUCUGCUCGGAUCCUGUUAUAACCCGGUGUUUUCGUAAUCUAGGUGACCCAAAUAAGACGCUGGUAUACUUAGUUUGAUUUCGAAAAAAAUCAAUUUUUGGUGAAAAAAAUCGGUACGGGGGGGUAUACCCGAAAAAUGAAAAAACCCAAACUUUGAAGGUCGAUAUCUCGGCUUCUAUGGGAGCUAUCGGGAAAAUUCCAACGGUUUUGUCUUAGUUUCGUCGUUUUGAAUCCAACGAGACCAUCCGCAUGAUCGUAGCUGUUCUAAUAGCUGAGAUAUGGCAUUUUUGAUGCCCAUUUUUGGCCUCAAAAACGGACGUCAAAAACGACUUUUUCAGGAUUUUCAAAGUGCUCUCAUUCCCUUAGUUCUGCUCGGAUCCUGUUAUAACCCGGUGUUUUCGUAAUCUAGGUGACCCAAAUAAGACGCUGGUAUACUUAGUUUGAUUUCGAAAAAAAUCAAUUUUUGGUGAAAAAAAUCGAUACGGGGGGGUAUACCCGAAAAAUGAAAAAACCCAAACUUUGAAGGUCGAUAUCUCGGCUUCUAUGAGAGCUAUCGGGAAAAUUCCAACGGUUUUGUCUUAGUUUCGUCGUUUUGAAUCCAACGAGACCAUCCGCAAGAUCGUAGUUCUCAUAAUAGCUGAGAUAUGGCAUUUUUGAUGCCCAUUUUUGGCCUCAAAAACGGUCGUCGAAAACGACUUUUUUAGGAUUUUCAAAGUGCUCUCAUUCCCUUAGUUCUGCUCGGAUCCUGUUAUAACCCGGUGUUUUCGUAAUCUAGGUGACCCAAAUAAGACGCUGGUAUACUUAGUUUGAUUUCGAAAAAAAUCAAUUUUUGGUGAAAAAAAUCGAUACGGGGGGGUAUACCCGAAAAAUGAAAAAACCCAAACUUUGAAGGUCGAUAUCUCGGCUUCUAUGAGAGCUAUCGGGAAAAUUCCAACGGUUUUGUCUUAGUUUCGUCGUUUUGAAUCCAACGAGACCAUCCGCAAGAUCGUAGUUCUCAUAAUAGCUGAGAUAUGGCAUUUUUGAUGCCCAUUUUUGGCCUCAAAAACGGACGUCGAAAACGACUUUUUCAGGAUUUUCAAAGUGAUUCUCUC